ACGUCCGUCUUCGUGAUCAUCACUAAGCAGAUUGUCACGGAGAACCAGGUGCAAGGCUUCUGCCCUGAGAGCGAAGUGAAGUACAGCUGUGUGUCUGACAGCGACUGCCAGAGGCCCGUCCCUACCACAGGAGGCGGAAUCCUGACUGGCCGGUGUGUGAACUACAACAG